CUGGUCCUGAUUAUGCUGAAAUACCAGUGCACAACAGCCUGUAUCGAAUUUCACUUCAAAAAAAAAAAAAAAAAGUUAAGCCUUGCCAUGUAGGAAAAAAACAUGGCCACGAAUGACCAGCAGUGUUGCUCACUGUGAUUAAUAGCCACUGGUCUGUUCCCAAGCAGAAUGAAAUGGAGCCUCCUAGGUCUUGGUAGCCAGAGACUGGUUUGUAAAAAAAAAAAAAAGAAAAGAAAAGAAAGAAAGAAAGGAAUGAAAGUGUGAAUUAGAGUCAGAUUAGAGAAUAUCCUGUUUUGGUUGAAGGUAAGAAACAGGGAGAGGCAUGAGAGGGCACGAAGCAUUUCACAGAGCUCAGAGGAAACAGUACCUGACAGACAGUAUAGCUUUUCCUUGGACAUACUACAUGGACUUAGGUGAGCAGCUAAGCCCAGUGUGGUCUCUGUGGAGCCACCCACUCACUAUUCAUGAUGCAGCAAGCCCUUGCCAUAUGGUGCCUGGCCCUUCUUAUCCAGGUUUCCUCCCUCAGGGCUGAGUGUUAUAGCAGAACAUGCAUGUGUCUGGGUCACGGAACCUCAGUGCACACAUCUAUGUACACUGCAAAGUGGAGCUGGUAUCCAGGUUUGAAAGGCAUCUAAAAGAGCACUACCACCUUCCUAAAUCCAGAGAAUCAAAGGCUACUUUCAAUCUUUGAGUUAGCAAUGCACACACUAAAAUACCAAGUGUGAUUGACUUGAAGUUAUCAAGCACCUGAUCUUCACAAACCUGUUCAGAAAAGGAACACGGUUUUUUAAAGCUCUGCAAAGUCCUCUUCUUGUCUUUACGAUGGCUUUGGGCUCUCUGUCUUUCCCACUGCACCAAUAUCACUGGCCCAGAGUAUUUUCUGUGCUGGUUUGUAAAUAUUAAUAAAUUUCUUGUUUUGUAAACUUUUGUAAAGAAUAUUUUGGUAGAAAUACUUAAAACAUAUUCUUUGGAUUAUAUUUAUACAUAUGUGAAAUAAAUAUACUAUCGAAAGGUUAUAUUUUAUACAAAAAGUAAAUUGUUACCUUUUGUAUGCUAAUAUACAAAGUUUUGUAUCAUACAAUGGUUUAUUUUUAGCUCUACAUUUAAACCAUACGUGAUUGAGUGGAAGCUUUGAAAACCCACUAAGAGGCUUGUUAGGUAAAUGUGUAUCCUGAGACCUCCCUCAGAAAGCAUUCCUGGGUCCAUCCCUCCCUGUUCUUGUUUUCCAGCUCAGAUCCUUUAUGAAGCCCAGAGUCCUCAUGUCUCAUUUGAUGAUUCUGCUGUGCACACAACAGUUCCUGUUGCAUGUGUCCUACUGUGUGUCUCCCCAUUAUACAAAACAGUGUUUCUCCAUGAGAACAGAGAGGGAAAACAAUGUAUAUAUAUAAACGCCAUGGUUUUGUGGCUCCUCCAGAUGGCUGGACAUAUCUGCAGGACUUCUCAGUCUCCGACCAUAUAAUUCAGCUUGUUUCUCCCUAACCCAAACAGUACAUUCUACAGCAGCUGUCCAGUUGUCCAACUGAAGAGGCAAAGGAAACAACAUGGCUGGUUUUUCUUCUCUUAAUGUGAAUUUCAUAAUUAAUGUCUAUUUAUUCAGCUAUUCAUUAAAAUACAGGAUUCUUUGGGGGAGACAGUAUAGCCUAUAGUUUUUCUGUUUGUUAGCAGCCUAUUACCAAAGAUGAUGUAAUUUUCCUGAAAGCUGAGAUAAUGACAAUUUGAUAGACAAACUUAGUAAGAGCCUCAGGAUUUACAAUGUAAGAGCUAUUGGGAUACAAACUCCCAUUUAUAGACAUGCUAGACUACUUAGUUGCUGACAUUGUUUAUCAUUCUGACAUCUAACAGAGAAAGUAAGAGUCGUUUGUCUUUCUUCUACUUCCUUCUUCCCUCCUUCCUCCCUCCUCCUCCUCCUCCUAAUUCAGAGACUAGAAAGUAAUGUAGGCAAAUAAUUCCUUCUUGGCUUUGUGUUCAGCCUAAUGAAUGGAGUCACUGAAUGAAAUGCUAAUGUCACCUGCAUUGCUGUCCUGAACCCACGAAUGUAAAGAUUUCAACUUGUAAUACAAGCAUUUUGUAUUGUGUGUAAUUCCAUGUGUAAAAAAAUAGUUUAAAAC
rnacentral:lncRNA from 1 species